GAGAGAGUGACGUUGAAUCGGAGAUAGGAGGAAUGUGUGGGUGAAGCAGAGGGAAUGUUGUUUAUGAAAUUCCCAAGUCAAGGAAGAGACUGCUAAGGAAAUGAAGAAGUCCAACAUGGAGAAAGCCUCAGUUGGGAGCUAGCCUGUCUUUAACACCUCUGACGCUUGCUGCCCUCCCUGUUUUACAAAGAGAGAGCAGACCUCAGGCUCAGAGCCUUCAGCCGGCCACAGAGUCUAGCUGGGGUUCGCUAACAUUUCCUUGCAUUUGUAUUUAUGGCUGCCUUCCAUUUACGGCUCAAGCAUGAGAAGUCUGUCCUGUGAAGACACCUGACCACGAUGCAUCCAACCUGGAGCCCCGGCUUCUAGUCCUGGCUCUGUCCCGAAGGGGUGUGUGGCUUUGGCCACAUUCUGCUACGUGUUCAGCGAAGCUGAUGGGUAACAUACACUCCACAAUUCUCAAGUUCUACAAUUCAAUAGGAGACGGAGCCAGCUCUCUAAAUUAACAAUACAAAUCGGGUGACUUCUUAGUUCCUCUUGGCUUGAGUCCCUGCCUCCUGGGACUGGAGAAAUAGGUGGGAAAUAGGUGUGUCAGACUCCCUGGCCUGGGUCAGAGAAUCACUGAGUUGUGGGCAGCUGGCAGGAAACUUCAGUGAUGAUCAAGACUCAUGUCCCCUCUCCCCCAUUCACUAGCAAAAAUUUACUAAGCAAUUGUUCUGAAUAGAGUGUGGGCAGGGGUGGCAGCUGUUGUGUUCACUGAUUUAUCCAUGGUUCACAUCAUCCCAGCUGGCACUUAGUGGGUGCUCAUCAAAUGUCUAUUGACUGAUGGGUAGUUUCCUGCAGCACAGUCAUUUAGGGGAACCUAUUAAAUGCAGAUUCCUGGGCCCUCUGUUGACCUAUUGAAUUUUAAUCUUUGGUGACAGGGACCAAGUAUCUGUCAUGACUGGGGUCUGCGGUUUACACCGUGCACAGAUCUGGCUUCAGAUCUCAGCUGUGUCUCUGCUUGGUCUUGGACUAAUCAUUUCAACCCCUUUUAAGCAUUUGUUUCCUCAGUCAUAAAAUGGAUAUCACACCGC
ensembl:lncRNA